rnacentral:misc_RNA from 1 species
GUAGGUGAACCUGCGGAAGGAUCAUUACCGAGUGAGGGCCCUCUGGGUCCAACCUCCCACCCGUGUUUAUUGUACCUUGUUGCUUCGGUGGGCCCGCCUCACGGCCGCCGGGGGGCAUCUGCUCCCGGGCCCGCGCCCACCGAAGACACCUAGAACUCUGUCUGAAGAUUGAAGUCUGAGUGAAAUUAUAAAUUAUUUAAAACUUUCAACAACGGAUCUCUUGGUUCCGGCAUCGAUGAAGAACGCAGCA